GUAGAAGCAGCGCGCGGUUUCCAUGGCGACAGUAGGAAGCCCGGGAGGUUUGCGGGCUGUGCAGCCCCCGCGGCCCUUUGUGCCCAAUGCGGCGCGGAAUCCGUGAACGGUCCGCGGCGCCGAGGGUGCAGCUCCUGCCUGGCGCGCUGUCCUGCCCCAUGGACGCCUCCUCUAGCCCUUGGAAUCCCACCCCGGCUCCCGUCAGCAGUCCUUCCCUGCUGCUCCCCAUUCCCGCCAUCGUCUUCAUCGCUGUGGGCAUCUAUUUGUUGCUGCUAGGCCUAGUGCUGCUGACGAGGCACUGCCUGCUGGCCCAAGGCUGCUGCACGGAUUGCAGCUCCCCCUGCAGGAAGCAAGGCGCCUCCAGGCCCCAGGACUGUUGCUGGACCUGUGCAGAAGCCUGCGACUUCCCUCUGCCCAGCCCAGCUCACUACCUGGAUGCCUGCUGCCCCCAGCCCACUGAAGCUGGCUGGGCCCCGCGCUGCCCUCGCUGCUGCCCGCUCUGCGACUGUGCCUGUGCGUGCCAGCUGCCUGACUGCCAGAGCCUCAACUGCCUCUGCUUCGAGAUCAAGCUCCGAUGAGGACCCAAGUCCCUGCCCUCGGGGGAGUGGGCAGCCCCCAGGCCCUCUUCCCUGAGGGGCCUCCGGCCACUGGGACCACGGAUCCCCGCCCAGAGAUUUCUUUCCCUUUUGAAGGCCUGAGACUGGAUUUCCAAGGAAGAAAUUCCCUCUGAGUUACGGG